rnacentral:rRNA from 1 species
AGAGUUUGAUCAUGGCUCAGAACGAACGCUGGCGGCAUGCUUAACACAUGCAAGUCGAACGAGAAAGUUCCUUCGGGAACGAGUAAAGUGGCGCACGGGUGAGCAACGCGUAGAUAACCUGUCCAGGUGUAUGGGAUAGCCCUUCGAAAGGGGGAUUAAUACCGUAUACGUUGGUCUUCUUUAAGGAGGAUCAAGAAAGGUGGCCUCUAUUUAUAAGCUAUCGCAUUUGGAGGGGUCUGCGUACCAUUAGUUUGUUGGUGGGGUAAUGGCCUACCAAGACUUCGAUGGUUAGCGGGUCUGAGAGGAUGAUCCGUCACACUGGCACUGAAACACGGGCCAGACUCCUACGGGAGGCAGCAGUGAGGAAUAUUGCGCAAUGGGGGAAACCCUGACGCAGCGACGCCGCGUGGGUGAGGAAGGCUUUCGGGUCGUAAAGCCCUGUCAGAAGGGAAGAAAUGUUUACAGGAUAAUACCCUGUAGAUUUGACGGUACCUUCAAAGGAAGCACCGGCUAACUCCGUGCCAGCAGCCGCGGUAAUACGGAGGGUGCAAGCGUUGUUCGGAAUCACUGGGCGUAAAGGGCGC